GAGCAAAACAUUAGCGGAAUACAUUCAGUGUAAAAAAAAUUAGCUGGGCCAAACGGUUUCGCAGAUGAAUGGUCGAAAAUUCAGCCCGAAAUGCAGGAGCCCAAAAUGAAAAUAUCAAAAGAAUCAUAUAAAACAUUGAAAUAAAAUAACUUGAGUUGGAAAAAAAUCAAAAGUGAAAAUGUAAAUAAUGACCCAUCGAAUUAAUCCAACCCAUUAUUUCGAACAUUUUGGCUGGCCAUUGACUAAAAAUCUAGCAGAAAUGAAAUAUUACGAAUAUAGCAGUGGUGUGAAUCGGAAGAACGAACUGAACUCCAACAAUUGCAUAACAGCUUUCUGGAUGAAGUCAAUGGAAAAUGUUAUAUGGAAGGGACAACAAUCAAUCCGCCUUUUGACCUAAUUCGGUAGAUUGCUGAUGAAUGCGAUCACAUUAAUCGAUUCUGGAUGGACUUCGCAAUUUUGAAAUUAUUAUUUCCCAAUUUCGAUUAGAGAAAAAAUCAAAAUUCACAAAAAUUGUAUUUUUUUUUACAUAAAAAUCGUCCGUAAGAUCUAUCUUAUCCCAAUAUCCACCCUAUGAUAAGACCGACUUGAUGAUCACAACAUUAUCGACAAAUGAAAAUUUAAAAUGUAUAAAAGAGCAAAAAUUCGGUUUUCAAAAAAUAGAUAAUAAAGAAUGAUAACGAAUGAAAAAAAAUGUGGAUAAAGCACGUACGACGUGACCUAACAAGAGUAACGAAAAUAUAUUAUAUAUAUAAGAAGAUAUUACAAUUUUUCGAACUCAUAGAAAAAAUCUUUUUUCAAAAAAAUCCCAAUCUACGUCUCACAUUAUUGUUUCGUGUGUUGAUAAGUUAUCAUUUUCCGCAAAUGUUCAUAAAAAGUUCU